UGCUGGAUAAUUGGAAAGUCCCGGUGUGUCAACCUCUGUGCUUUGUGGCAAGGUAGACUAGCAAACAUGCCCAACCUUUACUCACAUUCGAGAAAACACUCCCAACAAGAUUGCUUGCUCCAAACUCGAAGAGGCACCGCCCUCCGAAUCUCGAGAGCCAGACUCCCAACAUGAUUACUUUCUCAAAAAUCGAAGAGAGGGUAAAGGAACAGUACCACUGCUGGAUAAUUGGAAAGUCCUUGUGUGUCAACCUCUGUGCUUCGUGGCAAGGUAGACUAGCAAACAUGCCCAACCUUUACUCACAUUCGAGAAAACACUCCCAACAAGAUUGGUUGCUCCAAAAUCGAAGAGGCACCGCCCUCCGAAUCUCGAGAGCCAGACUCCCAACAUGAUUACUUUCUCAAAAAUCGAAGAGAGGGUAAAGGAACAUUACCACUGCUGGAUAAUUGGAAAGUCCCUGUGUGUCAACCUCUGUGCUUCGUGGCAAGGUAGACUAGCAAACAUGCCCAACCUUUACUCACAUUCGAGAAAACACUCCCAACAAGAUUGCUUGCUCCAAAAUCGAAGAGGCAUCGCCCUCCGAAUCUCGAGAGCCAGACUCCCAACAUGAUUACUUUCUCAAAAAUCGAAGAGACACCGCUCUCCGAAUCUCGAGAGCCAGACCCCCAGCAGGAUUGCUUUCUCAAAUAUCGAAGAGGCAUCGUUCUCCGAAUCUCGAGAGCCAGAUCCCCGACAGGAUUGCUUGUUCGAAAACCGAAGAGGCACCACUUUCCCAACUUCAAGAGCUGGAUCUCCUUGGAUAAAGCUUGUCUGUAAUCUUCACACGCAACAUCAGCUUUCCAGAUACCACAGACCACUUUUUCAAAGUGCUCUAACAGAGUUAAAACAUGUGAAGCUGGCAGCUCCCACUACCGUGCUAUGACCAAGCAGGGUAAAGGAAUAUCAUUAUUACUUGAUGUUAGGGAGACUUCAAUAUAUGUCGAC
rnacentral:lncRNA from 1 species